GAGGAAAGUCCGGGCUUCGCAGGGCAGGAUGCCGGAUAACGUCCGGUGGAGGUGACUCCCAGACCAGUGCAACAGAAAUAAACCGCCGGGCCCGACCCGGUAAGGGUGGAAAGGCAGUGUAAGAGACUACCGCCUGGCUGGUAACAGGCAGGGCACAUGUAAACUCCAUUCGAAGCAAGACCGAAAAGAAAGCUAUGCGGCUGCCCGUCGCGCUUUCAGGUGGGUCGCUGGACUCUGUUGGCAACGGCAGAGCUAGAUAGAUGAUCACCCAACGACAUAACCCGGCUUA
rnacentral:RNase_P_RNA from 1 species